rnacentral:rRNA from 1 species
GACAGAGGUCCCGAGCGUUAGGCGGAAUCACUGGGCUUAAAGCGUGUGUAGGCGGAUGCCUAAGUACCUUGUGAAAUCCCACGGCUCACCCGUGGAACUGCUUGGUAUACUGGGUGUCUUGAGCCACUUAGGGGCAACCGGAACAAAUGGUGGAGCGGUGAAAUGCGUAGAUAUCAUUUGGAACGCCAAUGGUGAAAACAGGUUGCUGGGAGUGUGCUGACGCUGAGACACGAAAGCCAGGGGAGCGAAUGGG